CUGUCGUCAGCUCGUGUCGUGAGAUGUUCGGUUAAGUCCGCUAACGAGCGCAACCCUCGUCGUAUGUUAUAUGUGUCAUACGAGACUGCCGGUAAAAGCCGGAGGAAGGUUGAGGAUGAUGUCAAGUCAGCAUGACCUUUAUAUCCAGGGCUACACACACGCUACAAUGGUCUGUACAAUGGGUAGCCAAGGCCGCGAGGCGGAGCCAAGUCCUGAAAAGCAGGCCUCAGUUCAGAUUGCAGUCUGCAACUCGACUGCAUGAAGCCGGAGUUGCUAGUAACCGCAGGUCAGCAAUACUGCGGUGAAUACGUUCCCGGGUCUU
rnacentral:rRNA from 1 species